CAAUAGCGUAUAUUAAAGUUGUUGCAGUUAAAAAGCUCGUAGUUGGAUUUCUGGCAGUGUGACUCCGGCCGGCGUGAUGCCGGCUCGAGCGCGCUACCAUCCUUCUGUCAACCUUCGCGGGUUUUACCGCCCGCCCUGGGGCUCAGAUAUUUUACCUUGAGAAAAUUAGAGUGUUUCAGGCAGGCUUAGCCGGAAUACAUUAGCAUGGAAUAAUGGAAUAGGACUGAGGUCUCGUUGUUGGUUACGCGGACUACAGUAAUGAUUAAUAGGGACAGUUGGGGGCAUUAGUAUUUAAUAGCUAGAGGUGGAAUUCUCUAAUUUGUUAAAGACUAACUUAUGCGAAAGCAUUUGCCAAGGAUGUUUUCAUUAAUCAAGAACGAAAGUUAGGGGAUCGAAGAUGAUCAGAUACCAU
rnacentral:rRNA from 1 species